UCCUUUGGACAUGGUGUGGUGAGAAAGGA
rnacentral:piRNA from 1 species